UUUUUAAAAUCAUAAAAACUAAUCAAAUUUACUUGCGUGAAAAGCGGUUGAACUAAUAACACGGCUUAAGGACCCGUAGGAUAGGACGGCAUGCUUAAUCCGGUUUGUUCUCUAUGCAUUGAAAUUUAACACUUAGGGGGUGUUAUUGGUUUGGGAUUUAAAAAGAGUUUUAAUGACUUUAAAAGUUAUGUAGAAUAUGUUGUUAUUCAAUCAAGACUUUUUAAAACUCUGUUACAAUUUGGUGUUAUUGGUUGUGGAUUUAUAAAAAGUAAUCUAAAAUUUUUAUAAAUCUAGUGUUAUUGGAUUAAGAGUUUUAUAGAGUCAUUAAAAGUUUUGUGUUAUUCAAUUAAAACAAAAGAAUCUUGGAUUGUUGAUAACUUAAAAUAUUAUGUUAUUGGUUUAGGAUUGAUUGUACAUAAUUUUCU
rnacentral:sRNA from 1 species